rnacentral:rRNA from 1 species
UACGAAGGGGCUAGCGUUGUUCGGAAUUACUGGGCGUAAAGCGCGCGCAGGCGGCUAUCCAAGUCAGUGGUGAAAGCCCGGAGCUCAACUCCGGAACUGCCAUUGAAACUGUGAGACUUGAGGAUGAGAGAGGUGAGUGGAAUUCCCAGUGUAGAGGUGAAAUUCGUAGAUAUUGGGAAGAACACCGGUGGCGAAGGCGGCUCACUGGCUCAUUUCUGACGCUCAGGCGCGACAGC